rnacentral:rRNA from 1 species
AUUGAACGCUGGCGGCAGGCUUAACACAUGCAAGUCGAGCGGGGUGAUGGUGCUUGCACUAUCACUUAGCGGCGGACGGGUGAGUAAUGCUUAGGAAUCUGCCUAUUAUUGGGGGACAACAUCUCGAAAGGGAUGCUAAUACCGCAUACGUCCUACGGGAGAAAGCAGGGGAUCACUUGUGACCUUGCGCUAAUAGAUGAGCCUAAGUCGGAGUAGCUAGUUGGUGGGGUAAAGGCCUACCAAGGCGACGAUCUGUAGCGGGUCUGAGAGGAUGAUCCGCCACACUGGGACUGGGACACGGCCCAGACUCCUACGGGAGGCAGCAGUGGGGAAUAUUGGACAAUGGGGGGAACCCUGAUCCAGCCAUGCCGCGUGUGUGAAGAAGGCCUUAUGGUUGUAAAGCACUUUAAGCGAGGAGGAGGCUCUUUUGGUUAAUACCCAAGAUGAGUGGACGUUACUCGCAGAAUAAGCACCGGCUAACUCUGUGCCAGCAGCCGCAGUAA